rnacentral:rRNA from 1 species
GGUCAAGUUAUUAAGGGUGCAGGGCGGAUGCCUUGGCACUAGGAGCCGAUGAAGGACGUGAUAAGCUGCGAUAAGCUUCGGGGAGUUGCACGUAAACUUUGAUCCGAAGAUUUCCGAAUGAGGAAACUCACUUAGAGUAAUGUCUAAGUAUCAUUAAGUGAAUACAUAGCUUAAUGAGGGGAACUCAGGGAACUGAAACAUCUAAGUACCUGAAGGAAGAGAAAGAAAUUCGAUUCCGUAAGUAGCGGCGAGCGAACGCGGAUUAGCCCAAACCAAUAAAGUUUUCUUUAUUGGGGUUGCGGACAUAUCAUAACGAAGAGGUAUCGUAAUUGAAGAGGUUUGGAAAGACCCACCACAGAAGGUAAUAGUCCUGUAUGUUAAACGAGAAGACUUCAGAUAUGAUCCAGAGUACCACGGGACACGUGAAACCCUGUGGGAAGCAGGAGGGACCACCCUCCAAGGCUAAAUACUACCUAGUGACCGAUAGCGUAUAGUACCGUGAGGGAAAGGUGAAAAGAACCCCGGGAGGGGAGUGAAAUAGAACCUGAAACCCUGCACUUACAAGCUGUGGAAGCACAUUUCUUGUGUGACCGCGUACUUUUUGUAGAACGGGCCAACGAGUUACGUUAAGUAGCAAGGUUAAGCACUUAAGGUGCGGAGCCGUAGCGAAAGCGAGUUUUAACUGAGCGUUCAGUUACUUGACGUAGACCCGAAACCGGGCGACCUACCCAUGAGCAGGAUGAAGCGAAAGUAAAAUUUCGUGGAGGUCCGAACCCACGAGCGUUGAAAAGCUCGGGGAUGACUUGUGGGUAGCGGUGAAAUUCCAAUCGAGCCCGGAGAUAGCUGGUUCUCCCCGAAAUAGCUUUAGGGCUAGCCUCAAGGUGAGAGAUACGGAGGUAGAGCACUGAAUGUCCUAGGGGGUAUUGCACCUACCGAAGACUAUCAAACUCCGAAUGCCGUCAUCUUAUACUUGGGAGUCAGACUGUGGGUGAUAAGAUUCAUAGUCGAAAGGGCAACAGCCCAGAUCGUCAGCUAAGGUCCCUAAAUGUAAGUUAAGUGGUAAAGGAUGUGGGAUUGCACAGACAACCAGGAUGUUGGCUUAGAAGCAGCCACUCAUUCAAAGAGUGCGUAAUAGCUCACUGGUCGAGUGAUCCUGCGCCGAAGAUUUCCGGGGCUAAAACUUACUACCGAAGCUACGGCAUCAGUAAUGAUGGGUAGGGGAGCUUCCCAUACGGGUUGAAGCAUGACCGUAAGGACAUGUGGACAGUAUGGGAGUGAGAAUGUUGGCAUGAGUAGCGAGAUGUGGGUGAGAAUCCCACAGGCCGUAAACCCAAGGUUUCCAGGGGAAGGUUCGUCCGCCCUGGGUUAGUCGGGACCUAAGCUGAGGCCGAAAGGCGUAGGUGAUGGACAACAGGUUGAUAUUCCUGUACUACCGAUAACCGUUUGAGAGAAGGGAUGACACAGUAGGAUAAGCUAAGCACACUGUUGGUUAUGUGUGCCCAAGCAUUGAGGCAGUCAAAGUAGGCAAAUCCGCUUUGAUAAUGCUGGGAUGUGAUGGGGAGCGAAAUUUAGUAGCGAAGUAGCUGAUUUCACACUGUCAAGAAAAGUCUCUAUCGAGGUUAAAGGUACCCGUACCGCAAACCGACACAGGUGGGUGAGGAGAGUAUCCUAAGGCCAGCGAGAGAACUGUUGUUAAGGAACUCGGCAAAAUGACCCCGUAACUUAGGGAUAAGGGGUGCCACCAUCAGGUGGCCGCAGAGAAUAGGCCCAAGCGACUGUUUACCAAAAACAUAGGUUUCUGCUAAGUCGCAAGACGAUGUAUAGGAGCUGACGCCUGCCCGGUGCUGGAAGGUUAAGGGGAUCUGUUAGAGCAAUCGAAGCAGUGAACUUAAGCCCCAGUAAACGGCGGCCGUAACUAUAACGGUCCUAAGGUAGCGAAAUUCCUUGUCGGGUAAGUUCCGACCCGCACGAAAGGCGUAACGAUUUGGGCACUGUCUCAACAACAGACUCGGUGAAAUUGUAAUUCCGGUGAAGAUGCCGGAUACCUGCGACAGGACGGAAAGACCCCAUGGAGCUUUACUGUAGCUUGACAUUGGGUCUUGGUACUACAUGUACAGGAUA